rnacentral:rRNA from 1 species
CUCGUAGGCGGUUCGUCGCGUCCGGUGUGAAAGUCCAUCGCUUAACGGUGGAUCCGCGCCGGGUACGGGCGGGCUUGAGUGCGGUAGGGGAGACUGGAAUUCCCGGUGUAACGGUGGAAUGUGUAGAUAUCGGGAAGAACACCAAUGGCGAAGGCAGGUCUCUGGGCCGUCACUGACGCUGAGGAGCGAAAGCGUGGGGAGCGAAACA